UACGAAGGGGGCUAGCGUUGCUCGGAAUCACUGGGCGUAAAGCGCGUGUAGGCGGGUCUUUAAGUCAGGGGUGAAAUGCCAAGGCUCAACCUUGGAACUGCCUUUGAUACUGGAGACCUUGAGUCCGGGAGAGGUGAGUGGAAUUGCGAGUGUAGAGGUGAAAUUCGUAGAUAUUCGGAAGAACACCAGUGGCGAAGGCGACUUACUGGACACAUAUUGACGCUGAGGUGCGAAAGCGUGGGGAGCAAACAGG
rnacentral:rRNA from 1 species